rnacentral:rRNA from 1 species
AGUAGCUUGCUACGAGCUGUUUUAGCGGCGGACGGGUGAGUAACGCGUGAGGAACCUGCCUUUCAGUGGGGGACAACAGUUGGAAACGACUGCUAAUACCGCAUAAGCCCACGGCUCGGCAUCGAGCAGAGGGAAAAGGAGCAAUCCGCUUUGAGAUGGCCUCGCGUCUGAUUAGCUAGUUGGUGAGGUAACGGCCCACCAAGGCGACGAUCAGUAGCCGGACUGAGAGGUUGAACGGCCACAUUGGGACUGAGAUACGGCCCAGACUCC